rnacentral:sRNA from 2 species
AUGCAUGAAUCGCUGAAUCCGUUAUGGAGCGGGGGAACCAAUAUUGUAACCAUUUUGUUACUUGGGGUGAAUCCUUAAAUAGGAGGGGCUACUCUCAUAGUCCCAACCCGACAGCUAACCUCGUAAGCGUUUUGGGAGGGAUGU